AUUGAACGCUGGCGGCAGGCCUAACACAUGCAAGUCGAGCGAGCGGCGGACGGGUGAGUAAUGUAUGGGGAACUGCCUGAUGGAGGGGGAUAACUACUGGAAACGGUAGCUAAUACCGCAUACCAUCGGAUGUACCCAUAUGGGAUUAGCUGGUAGGUGGGGUAACGGCUGACCUAGGCGACGAUCCCUAGCUGGUCUGAGAGGAUGACCAGCCACACUGGAACUGAGACACGGCCCAGACUCCGACGGGAGGCAGCAGUGGGGAAUAUUGCACAAUGGGCGCAAGCCUGAUGCAGCCAUGCCGCGUGUAUGAAGAAGGCCUUAGGGUUGUAAAGUACGUUCAGCCGGGAGGCGUUACCGACAGAAGAAGCACCGGCUAACUCCGUGCCAGCAGCCGCGGUAAUAC
rnacentral:rRNA from 1 species